rnacentral:rRNA from 1 species
UACAGAGGUGGCAAGCGUUGUUCGGAAUUACUGGGCGUAAAGGGCGCGUAGGCGGCCUCUUUAGUCAGACGUGAAAUCCCCCGGCUUAACCUGGGAACUGCGUCUGAUACUGGGAGGCUAGAGUUCGGGAGAGGGAUGUAGAAUUCCAGGUGUAGCGGUGAAAUGCGUAGAUAUCAGGAAGAACACCCGUGGCGAAAGCGGCUCUCUGGAACGGUACUGACGCUGAGACGCGAAAGCGUGGGGAGCGAACAGG